AUCACUUCUUGGUCUACUAAACAAAGUUCCACAAAAGCCUUUCAGUUCGAGUAAUUUGCUCAGAUCUCAUCACAAUGAAGCUGAGCGUGUUCAUCUUUGCUGCCCUGAUUUUUAUCAACUUGUGCACCUGCACGCCAAGGGACAUGGCAAAGGAUGGAUCUCACGGUACAACUGUGUCACCGAGGCAAAAUCGGGUACUCAUCGCUGCAACUGAUGGGAGGAAUGGACCUCCCAGCAAUGAUCACCAGUGCCCACUUGGGACCUACCCGAAUUGUUGAGCUUCCAUGCAUGUCUCAAAAUAUUGACGAACAGCUCAAGACGUUCAUGGAAAUUACACCGGUCUCUGCUGAUGAGGGAGCAUGAAUCUCAUGAACGAAAUAUAUAUAGCCCAAGGUUCCCGAUGUAGUUUUUCAAUUGCUACAUUCUAGCUAGCUUGCCAUGGAUGGCUUUGUUGCCAUCCUUAACAGCACUGCUUUGUUUUUAUGCUUAAUUAACGUCACUGUAUAAUUUCGAUGUUUAUGUGUAUAUAUAUAGAGAAACCUAGUAGAUAUUUUGUGUGUUUAAUCAGCUGCAUAUGCUUAGAUUUGUCUAGCAUGUGUAGCUUGUCAUGCCAAAAGCGAUUUAUGUGAAGGCUGUACA